CCUACGGGGGACAGCAGUGAGGAAUAUUGGUCAAUGGACGCAAGUCUGAACCAGCCAUGCCGCGUGCAGGAAGACGGCCCUAUGAGUUGUAAACUGCUUUUGUACGAGGGUAAACUCAGAUACGCGUAUCUGUCUGAAAGUAUCGUACGAAUAAGGAUCGGCUAACUCCGUGCCAGCAGCCGCGGUAAUACGGAGGAUUCAAGCGUUAUCCGGAUUUAUUGGGUUUAAAGGGUGCGUAGGCGGUCGGAUAAGUUAGUGGUGAAAUCCCGAGGCUCAACUUCGGAAUUGCCGCUGAUACUGUUAGGCUAGAGAGUAGUUGCGGUAGGCGGAAUGUAUGGUGUAGCGGUGAAAUGCUUAGAGAUCAUACAGAACACCGAUUGCGAAGGCAGCUUACCAAGCUGCAUCUGACGUUGAGGCACGAAAGCGUGGGGAGCAAACAGGAUUAGAUACCCGAGUAGUC
rnacentral:rRNA from 1 species